rnacentral:rRNA from 1 species
AGCAGCCGCGGUAAUUCCAGCUCCAAUAGCGUAUAUUAAAGUUGUUGCAGUUAAAAGCUCGUAGUUGAAUUUCGGGGUCAGUAGGUUGGUCAUGCCUUUGGUAUGUACUGGUCUCACUGAUUCCUCCCUCUUGAAGAACUGUAAUGUCAUUAAUUUGGUGUUGCGGGGAGUCAGGACUGUUACUUUGAAAAAAUUAGAGUGUUUAAAGCAGGCUUACGCUUGAAUACAUUAGCAUGGAAUAAUGAAAUAGGACGUUUGACCCUAUUUUGUUGGUUUCUAGGAUUGACGUAAUGAUUAAUAGGGAUAGUUGGGGGCAUUAGUAUUCAAUUGUCAGGGUGAAAUUCUUGGAUUUAUUGAAGACUAACUACUGCGAAAGCAUUUGCCAAGGAUGUUUUCAUUAAUCAAGAACGAAGGUUAGGGGAUCGAAGACGAUCAGAUACCGUCGUAGUCUUAACCAUAAACUAUGCCGACUAGGGAUCGGAUGAUGUUAAUUUUUUAAUGACUCAUUCGGCGCCUUACG